GCAUGGCCGAAUUCUGUUUUACUCUUGAAAUAGUAAAUGCAGUCAGACACCAUGCUACAUUAUUAUUUUCACACUAACUCAAUACGAUUAGAAUGCUAAUGAUGUGCCUUCUUAAUCUUAUGUCUGAGUGAAUACAGAA